UCAUAUUAACUUAUUAGACUAUUUAUAAAAUUCAAAUAGUGAGUAAUGUAGAUUUUCAUUAAAAAAAUAAUGAAAUAGACUCUUAGACUUUGUGAAGCUUUGAAAAAAGUUAAACUAAACCUUAAAAUUCAGCUUUUUAUAGAUAAUAAAUCAGACUUAAUCUACCAUUUUUAAUGUAGGUCAUACUCAUACUUUGUAAAAUCUAGACUUAAUCUAUUUUCACUCUUAGAUAUGUCACUAAAGAAACUUAUCAUGUUUAUUAAGAAGAUAUUUGAUCAAUUAAUCUUUCACACUAAUAUAACUAUAUAUUAACAUUAAUUUAAAAAAAGAAUUGUGCUAAUAAUAUACAUUGAUGGGUUAAAUGGUCUCACAAGUUGUUGAAAUAAAAGGAAAAGUCUAAUUGGUCAACGUGAUGUUUCUCCUCUUUAUGGAAGGAAAUGUGAAUCAUACUGCAGUGAAGUUUCUUGAGGGAGACUGUGGGGUUAAAUUAAACACCAGCACAUAAAUAUUUGCACAAUUUCUUCUAUUUUCCAAUUUUCGGCAACUUCACAGCAAUUCAUAUCAUGUGGUUAAAGUUGCCUAUGGCAAGGACAAAAUAAAUAAUUAAAUAAAAAGACCAAGACUUAACACACUAUAUAUACAUAGUUCAUACAAUCUAAAAUCAGUAUGUUUUGUAGGAAACACAUAGUGCAGCAAAACAUAAGAGUUUCAUUUAGAGUUUAGGGUGUGAUGUCGCAGGAGUGAUGGAGCCAACUAUGAUACAUAGUUAAAUAUUUAUGAUAUGAAUAUCAUUAUAUAGUGGCACCAUCCUCUUGUGACAUUAUAUCCUUCAAUCUCUAACAAUAUGGUGGAUGUUCUUUAAUAUAAUUGAUGUUUUAUUUUUCUUUUAUAUUAAUUCCCUUAAAAGUAAUAUAAUAACUAUUAUCUUUUUAAUGAAUAGGUUUAUUUAUUGUUGUUUACACAAAAAUUAAGCAAAUCAAUAUUUUUUUAUGUUAAUAAUUUUUUUUCUUCUUUUUUUAGGCAUUUUUCUUCUUGUUAUGUCUUAGAUUAUUUAUUAUGUUUUUCUAUUUACAAUAAAUAUUAAAAAUAUAAUUAACACAAAAAUAGUUAUUGUGAUUCUGAACUUUGAAAACAAGUAAGCUAUAAAUAAAUAUUAAAUUUUAAAUAUUCUUCAUCUCUUCAACCUAAUAUAAUUGGGUAAGUGUUGAAUUUUGUAAUUUGGGAUAAUAGACUAAUGAAAAAUUAAUAGACGAAUGUUCAAUAACAUUUUGUUCUCCCCUUUUCUUAUUAUUUUGAUUUUGUUUUUCUACACUUUCAACCAUAUUGAUCUACACAAUUUCACAUGGUAUGAGAUUAAAUAUAAUUUUAUUUCUAUCUAAUCUUGUUUAUCCUAUAUUUUCUUUCCUCGAUUUCUCCAUCGUUUCGUUCCUCUCCUUCAUCAGCAACAAAGUGUGAUGUAGAUGAAUGACGCAUGUGACAUAUGAAAAUAAUUUUAUAAAGAAAAUAUUUAGUCAAAGUCAAAACUGAUUAAAUCUUAGUUAGCCUUUGACUUAGUAUUUGAGUUGGCUUUACUCAAUUAAGUUAGUUAGUUUGUUAAAACUUACUAAUUGAGUUUAUCUUUCAUGUAAUCAUGUAUAUAUACACUUCUAUGUAAAACCAUUAAUUAAUGAAAUAUUUAAUUUACAAA
rnacentral:lncRNA from 1 species